rnacentral:rRNA from 1 species
AUUAACGCUGGCGGCGUGCCUAACACAUGCAAGUCGAGCGGCAGCGAGUUUUACACUGACUUCUGGAAGCUUCUAGUUGAAAGAGAAGAUUUAUUCAAGAAUUUUGUGUAAAAUGUCGGCGAGCGGCGGACGGCUGAGUAACGCGUGGGAACGUACCCCAAAGUGAGGGAUAACGCAUCGAAAGGUGUGCUCAUACCGCAUAUGGUCUUCGGAUUAAAGCCUUCGGGCGCUUUGGGAACGGCCUGCGUAAGAUUAGAUAGUUGGUGGGGUAAUGGCCUACCAAGGCGACGAUCGUUAACUGGUAUGAGAGGAUGAUCAGUCAGACUGGAACUGAGACACGGUCCAGACUCCUACGGGAGGCAGCAGUGAGGAAUCUUCCACAAUGGGCGAAAGCCUGAUGGAGCAACGCCGCGUGCAGGAUGAAGACCUUCGGGUUGUAAACUGCUUUUAUAAGUGAGGAUUAUGACAGUAACUUAUGAAUAAGGAUCGGCUAACUACGUG